ACUCCGUGGGCGUGGGACCCUCCGAGCCAGGUGCGGGAUAUAGUCUCGCGGUGCGCCGUUUUUUAAGCCCGUCGGAAAAGCGCAAUAUUCGGGUGGGAGUGACUCGAUUUUCCAGGUGCCUCCGUCACCCCUUUCUUUGACUCGGAAAGGGAACUCCCUGACCCCUUGCGCUUCCCAAGUGAGGCAAUGCCUCACCCUGCUUCGGCUCGCCCCUGGUGCGCGCACCCACUGACCUGCGCCCACUGUCUGGCACUCCCUAGUGAGAUGAACCCGGUACCUCAGAUGGAAAUGCAGAAAUCACCCGUCUUCUGCGUCGCUCACGCUGGGAGCUGUAGACCGGAGCUGUUCCUAUUCGGCCAUCUUGGCUCCUCCACCAGAAAUGAUGUAGCUUCUAUCAGGAAUCUGGUAGCAAUGCAAAGCUAAGAGAAGUUAGAACACUUGAAAUUAGCUAAGCGAGAAUGCCAUCAGCAGUGCAUCGAUCUCAGCUGCAUCCAGGUGUAUCAGUUGAAUGGCAGAGGGACUAGAAAUUACAUUUCACGAAGAAAAUUUACAGAACUAAAGAUAUUUAGGCUGCAAAAGAAAAGACUAAGGUAAGCCUGUGGGCAGGUUAAGGUUUAAAACACUAAGAGUUCACCUGUAGACUAAUGCUUAGAAAGAGAAGACAAGAAAAAUGAGGAACGGAAUACAGAGAAACAAAUCUUGGCUUAUUUUAAAUCCUUUUCAGAGAACAGUAUACAAGCAUGGUGAAGAGUGAAAUCUCUACUGCUAAACUACAGAGGUAUCCGAUACAGGUUCUUAAGUGCUGAGGGACUUUGCAUAAAUUACUGAUGCUGUGGUUUUGGUUUUCUCCAGUGUAAAUAGUGUUGAAUACAGUAUCCAUAAAAUACCUGAACAGGUUGAGAAAGGAAAUGUGUAUAAAGUGGUUAAAAAGAGACUGACGCAAAGUAAGUGCUCUAUAAAAAUUGCCUGUAAAAAAUAAGACUACCACAAAUAAUGCUGUCUUUUUUAAUGUAUUUAUUAAAUAUAUGUGGUACUAAAUAAAUGCACAUAUACAUAAAUAUGUUUUAAAACACAUAUAAUAUGCCAAAAUACAUAUUAUUUUAAAAUAAACAAAUAUUGAUGAUGUGGUUUGGCUGUGUUCCCACCCAUAUUGCAUCAACAAUUGUAAUCCAAAUUGUAAUCCCCGUGUGUCAAGGGAGGGACCUGGUGGGAGGUGAUUGGAUCAUGGAGGAGAUUACUCCAUGCUGUUCUUACAGUGCAUAAGUCCUUAUGAAAUGUGAUGCUUUUAUAAGGCAGUUUUCCCUGCUCUUGCUCGCUCUCUCUCUCACCUGCUGCCGUGUAAGACAUGCCUGCUUCUCCUUCUGCUAUGACUGUAAGUUUCCUGAGGCCUCACCAGCCAUGCAGAACUGUGAGUCAAUUAAACCUCUUUUCUUUAUAGGCUACCCAGUCUCUGGCCACUCUUUAUAGCAGUGUGAAAAAGGAGUAAUACAAUUGAUAUUAGCGUAAUGUAUUGACAUUGUAGAAAUUUGAAAAUAUAGAAACAUAUAGAAAAGAAAAAUCACCUCUAAUCUUACUAUUGUUAUCUAAAUGUGCUUUAUUCUAAUUGACUUGAUGAAUUGAGAUCACAG
rnacentral:lncRNA from 1 species